CUUCUCCACCAGCUCUUGUGCCUUUAAGAUUUGCUUCUGGAAGAAUGUCCAGGCUUCCUGGCCUCUUUUGCUCUUCAGGUCUGCAUCCUAAGGGACUCUGUCAACCAGUCUCCUAAACAGGCCAAAGUCUGCUCUUUGGAAGUCCAAGUCAUACAGAUACAGCUUAAGACAACCUUUACAAACUCUGCUUUCUACAUGAGGGUGAGGAGGGGGAAUGGUCCUUCCUACCUGCAGUGGACCCACAGAGUCCUUGCUUCUCCUUUCACCCUGUGGAGGAAUCCAUCUGAAAACAGCUCUAUGAAUGCACAGACCUCUGAGCUGACCUCUAAAUGGAAAACCACAGUGCUGCAGACUGGCCUCCUGUCAGUGAGAAAUGCUGAUUACUGUGAAAAGUAAUUAUAACGGGACUUGGACCAAAGUGAAUGUCUAAGAAAACAGUUGCGCAUGCAAAAGUGGUGAAGAUAAAGCAAAGGAAAUCGUGGCUUCCUGAUAAACUGUUUUCUCAACAGCUUUCUUGAGCUAAAAUUAAAAGUCUGAUAAUGUUUUCAGCACUACUA